rnacentral:lncRNA from 1 species
CUCUGGUGGUUUAGUUGGCCUCAGAUUCAGUUGUGGCUCAUGUUUUAUUAAUGUGGUGAGAUUGUCUUUUAUUUUCAGCCUCCCACAGCAGGUGAGCUUGUCAUAUUCACUAAGAGAGAACGAGAGAAGAUUGCCCACCACUUGCGUGAAUUGUUUCCACAGUUCUUAAUUUCUGCUGAGAGGCAGGCAAUAUAAACAAAGUUUUACUUAACUGCUGGAACAUUUGUCAAGGAUUUGAUACACGCAAACCUCCAUUUUUAUGCCGCGCUAUGAAAAUGCUGCAGUGUUGCUCCUCUGAGUAACCCUGUGCGUGCCAAGCAGUGUCUCAGAAUUAAGGUUGUCCUAAUGUUUCUUCUAAAGAACAGAGUGAUGACUUCCAAGUUCCUUACCUGCUGGAGCUGAAACCAAAGGUAAGACAAUUGAAUGUCUGAGAGCUGAAAUUUCACUUUUAGUGAGAAACAGGGCUUAAUUUGAACUCAGCCCUAUCUGAUCACAUGACUCUGCUCUGCUAGAUAGAAGAAGGAUAUUGUACCAGAAGAGUGAGUGAAACCUAACCUUACUUAGAGUGAAUGGUUUCUCCAAAAAAGAGAACCAGUAAAAGGGAGAAAGGAUUUGUAGAAGAAGAAGACAAUUGUGGCCUACUUAAGAAUGUUUAUAUGUUUUUUAACUUUUAAAACAAACACUCAGAUCAUUAACUUUGCCGUUGUUUCUAAAUACUGAAGAAUAAUCAUCAAAUAGUAGUCGGAUCUCCAGGUAAAAGCGAUGUCAUUAUGGACAUGUGGUUUUUCAGAGGCUAUUAAUUUUUGUUUCAGUGAAAAACCACAUUUAUACAGUAAAUCAUUUUUCCCAUUUAAGUUCUGUUCACUAUAAUAUAAAUAUUGUGUAAGACCUGUUAUGAGAGUGCUUAAUAAACAUUAAAAAUUGGUUUCACUUUGAUGUUCUGAGACUGCAUAAGAUAAACUCUUUAUUGAUUUAUUAACCAGCUUUCACUGGACCAGUGGCCUUAGGACAGGCUUACAGGAAACUUUGUCACAUCACUCUAGGAGCACACAACAGCUGAGACACAGUUUCACUAUAAAGAUAAGG